rnacentral:misc_RNA from 1 species
UACAGAGGGUGCAAGCGUUAAUCGGAAUUACUGGGCGUAGAGCGCACGUAGGCGGAUAACUAAGUCGGAUGUGAAAUCCCUGGGCUUAACCUAGGAACUGCAUUCGAUACUGGUUGUCUAGAGUAUGGUAGAGGAUAGUGGAAUUUCCGGUGUAGCGGUGAAAUGCGUAGAUAUCGGAAAGAACACCAGUGGCGAAGGCGGCUAUCUGGACCAAUACUGACGCUCAGGUGCGAAAGCGUGGGGAGCAAACAGG